GUAGUCCACGCUGUAAACGAUGAGAACUAGAUGUUGGUGCGCGCGAGCGCACAAGUAUCGAAGCUAACGCGAUAAGUUCUCCGCCUGGGGAGUACGGCCGCAAGGUUAAAACUCAAAGGAAUUGACGGGGGCCCGCACAAGCGGUGGAGCAUGUGGUUUAAUUCGAUGCAACGCGAAGAACCUUACCUACCCUUGACAUCCUAGGAAUCUUGCAGAGAUGCGGGAGUGCCGAAAGGAACCUAGAGACAGGUGCUGCAUGGCUGUCGUCAGCUCGUGUUGUGAGAUGUUGGGUUAAGUCCCGUAACGAGCGCAACCCUUAUCCUUAGUUGCCAACACGUCAUGGUGGGGACUCUAAGGAGACUGCCGGUGAAGAACCGGA
rnacentral:rRNA from 1 species